UACGUAGGUGACAAGCGUUAUCCGGAUUUACUGGGCGUAAAGCGCACGCAGGCGGUCGGAUAAGUCCGAUGUGAAACCUUUCAGCUUAACUGGAAGAAGUCGUUGGAUACUGUCUGACUUGAGGCGAUGAGAGGAAUGCAGAAUUCCCGGUGUAGUGGUGGAAUGCGUAGAGAUCGGGAGGAAUAUCUGUGGCGAAAGCGGCAUUCUGGCAUUUGCCUGACGCUCAUGUGCGAAAGCGUGGGGAGCGAACGGG
rnacentral:rRNA from 1 species